rnacentral:lncRNA from 1 species
UGAUUUGUCCCCUAACUUCCGGGCCUCCCCAAUUAAGACUGCCCUUGUGCCUCCUGCUUCACUUCUACUUGGCGAGAACCUACUGCUGGCCUGGAGUUCUUUCCCCAGUCUAUUCCAUCUGCUUUCACCCUCCGCCAGAGUGCCCCGGGUCCAGCUGGAUUCCCCUGCCCUCAGGCGCCCCCAAGUCCUUAUCCUUAACACCUCUGAAAGUCAGCCUUCCUUUCCCCACCCCUUUGCUUAAGCCCUGGUUAAGCCCUCAGCCUGUUCAUCCACGACCUCGCCUCAAGCCUCAAGCCGCUCGCACGGAGCCUCUUUCAGCACCCUCCUCUGGGUGUCAUCUGCUCUAGAUUCUGUACCCUACCUCAGGAAGGCGUUCAACUCCUUGAGAAGAUAUUGCAUGCCUUUCGCUAUAUGUCCCUGGUCUUGCCUGUCUCCCCACUACCCUUCCAACCUUAAUUAGCUACCCUGUUCCCACACAGCACUACUUAACCACACGGUUAAGUUCAACCGGAGACACACCAUAGCAAGUCUAGAUUCUCACAGAAAUCAGGCCUGUUGACUUGUAAACAGCCCCCAUUCCUGUCUAUCAGGCAAACCAUUAGCUCCCUGCAGGUACCACCCACCCUUCUUUGCUGGGUCCUAACCACAAAAAUCACAGAAUUUCUGUACAACUCUGGUGACCCAGCCAGCUGCAGGUUUGUCUCAGGUUGGCUUGAGCCCAAGUUGGGGCCUGGAACCUUCUCAGGCACUGAUUAAGACAUAUAGAUUGUUGUCCAAAACACAAGCUGGCUAGGAGCCUGAGCCAAAAUUCCCUAAACCCACAUGUAAGCUCCAUACUGUGGCCCCUUGCUGAGGACACCCCUUUCCUCUCCAUGUCUGUCUCAAGGAGGAGCUGCAGCACUCUGAAGUUUCCCUAAUAAGCUUUGGGCUGUUCACCCUGGCAGUUAGUGCUUCUUCUGGAAUCCCAACAGGCUCAUCUAGGGAUGGUUUUCACCCUUGGAGUUCCUUGUGGGAACUACCCUGCCCAUUUAAUCAGGAGAAAGCAUCCCUUUUUGAUGGUCCCCUGCUUCUCUAGGGGAGUCAGCAAGCCCUACCCUCAGUGUCCCUUACACUGACAUCUGUAUACCAGCACUCCCUGCCCUGAGAUGAUGUGACUCUCUAUGCCCCCCACCCAGUACUCUAAGCUGACCUCACUAGCACAGCACUUAUUACCUGUGACUGACCAAAUGGGUGACAAUCCAAGCGUGUAAUUACACCUUACCAGCUUCCCAAACCUUUAGUGGCAGAGCAUCAACCCAUGAUAUAUUGACAAUAAUUGUCACUUUCCCUCAUUCUAGGACAGGGUUUCCUUUGACCUCAAUCUGAAGCACACUCAUUUAUUUUCCUUUGAAGAGUUACCAAAUGUCAAACUGUGGGUAAGAGUGUGGAAAUUUCACUGGGCAUUUCUCUAUCCAGUAGACACCUGUUUGCCCCUUGGCCAGAUCACUAAUACCAACAUAUAGUUCAAUACUAACCCUCUCCAACAUCUCUCCUUUCCUUCCUGGAAAGACCUUCCUUAACAAGAAGCUAUAGCACUCCUGCCUCACUACCCACAUUCUGCAAAGUUUCAGGUAGGUGCUGGUACUGUCAUCCCACACCCUAAAACAGGACAUGCUUUGCAUGAAAUUGAAAUGCAUCUAGCCUCCAGCUGCCCCAAAAGAAGGCAGCUCUAUCCCAACCAUCCUCCUCCUACUUUCCCUUGCUCUCUAUUGCCCCUUCCAGCCAGAUGAACAAAUACUAAGCAAGAAACCCUGCUUAAGUUUAUGGCAAAAAUCAGUUGUCUUUCAAUAUUCAUUCUCACUUUCUAGUUCACCUUUUUCCAAGGUAGAACUACUGAGUUUCUUUGUUUUUUUUUUAAGAUAGAGAAGAGAGAAUUUUUUAAUAUUUAUUUUUCAGUUUUCA